rnacentral:rRNA from 1 species
CGGACGGGUGAGUAAUGCUUGGGAAUCUGGCUUAUGGAGGGGGAUAACGACGGGAAACUGUCGCUAAUACCGCGUAGUGUCGAGAGACGAAAGACCGGGACCGUAAGGCCGGUUGCCAUAAGAUGAGCCCAAGUGGGAUUAGGUAGUUGGUGGGGUAAAGGCCUACCAAGCCUGCGAUCUCUAGCUGGUCUGAGAGGAUGGCCAGCCACACUGGAACUGAGACACGGUCCAGACUCCUACGGGAGGCAGCAGUGGGGAAUAUUGCGCAAUGGGGGCAACCCUGACGCAGCCAUGCCGCGUGAAUGAAGAAGGCCUUCGGGUUGUAAAGUUCUUUCGGUGAUGAGGAAGGCGGUUAGUUUAAUAGGCUAAUCGAUUGACGUUAAUCACAGAAGAAGCACCGGCUAACUCCAUGGCAGCAGCCGCGGUAAUACGGAGGGUGCGAGCGUUAAUCGGAAUAACUGGGCGUAAAGGGCACGCAGGCGGUUGCUUAAGUGAGGUGUGAAAUCCCCGGGCUUAACCUGGGAAUUGCAUUUCAGACUGGGCAGCUAGAGUAUUU